rnacentral:rRNA from 1 species
GACGAACGCUGGCGGCGUGCUUAACACAUGCAAGUCGAACGGAAAGGCCCUGCUUUUGUGGGGUGCUCGAGUGGCGAACGGGUGAGUAACACGUGAGUAACCUGCCCUUGACUUUGGGAUAACUUCAGGAAACUGGGGCUAAUACCGGAUAGGAGCUCCUGCUGCAUGGUGGGGGUUGGAAAGUUUCGGCGGUUGGGGAUGGACUCGCGGCUUAUCAGCUUGUUGGUGGGGUAGUGGCUUACCACGGCUUUGACGGGUAGCCGGCCUGAGAGGGUGACCGGCCACAUUGGGACUGAGAUACGGCCCAGAAUCCUACGGGAGGCAGCAGUGGGGAAUAUUGCACAAUGGGCGGAAGCCUGAUGCAGCAACGCCGCGUGCGGGAUGACGGCCUUCGGGUUGUAAACCGCUUUCGCCUGUGACGAAGCGUGAGUGACGGUAAUGGGUAAAGAAGCACCGGCUAACUACGUG